rnacentral:RNase_P_RNA from 1 species
AAAGAAGGACGAGUGAUCGCUAGUUUUUUUAACUAGAGGAAAGUCCGAGCACCGCUAGGAUAAAGUGCCUGUUAAUUGCAGGGCAGGGUGACCUGACGGAUAGUGCAACAGAAAAUAUACCGCCACAUUAAAUUGGUAAGGGUGAAAAGGUGAGGUAAGAGCUUACCACAAAUUUGGUAACAAAUUUGGUAUUGUAAACCCCACUUGGUGCAAGGCUAAAUAGAGGAACAAUUAAUUUUCCUAGAUAGUUCCAGGGUGAGCUGCUUGAACUAGUUGGUGACAACUAGUCUAGAUGGAUGAUCACAUCUUUUUUUAAGAAACAGAACUCGGCUUACAGUCUUUCUUUUAUC